AGUGAGCGCUGGCGGUAGGCCUAACACAUGCAAGUCGAACGGCAGCACAGUAAGAGCUUGCUCUUACGGGUGGCGAGUGGCGGACGGGUGAGGAAUACAUCGGAAUCUACUUUUUCGUGGGGGAUAACGUAGGGAAACUUACGCUAAUACCGCAUACGACCUACGGGUGAAAGCAGGGGAUCUUCGGACCUUGCGCGAUUGAAUGAGCCGAUGUCGGAUUAGCUAGUUGGCGGGGUAAAGGCCCACCAAGGCGACGAUCCGUAGCUGGUCUGAGAGGAUGACCAGCCACACUGGAACUGAGACACGGUCCAGACUCCUACGGGAGGCAGCAGUGGGGAAUAUUGGACAAUGGGCGCAAGCCUGAUCCAGCCAUACCGCGUGGGUGAAGAAGGCCUUCGGGUUGUAAAGCCCUUUUGUUGGGAAAGAAAAGCAGCAGGUUAAUACCCCGCUGUUCUGACGGUACCCAAAGAAUAAGCACCGGCUAACUUCGUG
rnacentral:rRNA from 1 species